rnacentral:lncRNA from 1 species
UUUUGUUCUUUUCAUCUUGUAGUGCUAAUAUUUCAGCUUGGUGACUACACUUCGCCUCUUCCAGUUGCAUCUUCAACCGUGAGUUACUAUUUUGUAGGUCUUCAUUAGCAAGCUGCAGAACAGAAAUUUGUUCAACUGCCUGCUCUAACUGAGCUCCUAAGGUCUUCACUGAAUCAUUUGACUGAUGUAAGCUGUUAAUGGCCUCUUCCUUCUCUCCUUGUAGCACAAUGAUCUCAUCUUGCAGAUUAGUCCUUAUCUCUUCAAGUUGCUUGUGUAACCUAGAAUUUGUACUCUGCAGCUCUUCAUUUUCUCGCUGGAAAAGUAAAAUUUGGUUUUGCUGCUGUACCAUGUCACUUUGAAGUUCCUUGAUGUUAGCCUCUGAUUGCUGUAACUGAGCGAGUGCUGCAUUUUUCUCUGCUUGCAGUGCCAUAACCUCAUUAUACAGAUCAGUCUUUCCUGCUUCGAGGUCUUUGUUGGCCUCCUGAAGUUUUGAAAUCUCUUGGACUUGUUGUUCUAACUUGCUCUCAAGAUUAAUAACUGAAGUAGCAGCUUCAUUUUUUUGUCCUUGUAAUUCAACAAUUUCAUUAUGCAGGUUAGAAUUUGCAAGCUCCAGGCCUUCAUUAGUCUUCUGCAUAUCUGAAAUCCUCUCAAGUUGUUUUGCUAGCUCAGUCUUAAGAUUCAUCAAAGAAGCCUCUAGCUGCUCUAUCUCUGACAUGGCAGAAUCAUUAUCCUUCUGUAGCUCGGCAAUAUUACUUACAAGAAUCUUGAUAGAAGCCUCAGACUGCUGCAGAUCUGAAAUUAUUUUGUUCUUUUCAUCUUGUAGUGCUAAUAUUUCAGCUUGGUGACUCUUCGCCUCUUCUAGUUGCAUCUUCAACCGUGAGUUAAUAUUUUGUAGGUCUUCAUUAGCAAGUUGUAGAACAUAAAUUUGUUCAACUUGCUGCUCUAACUGAACUCCUAAGGUCUUGACUGAAUCAUUUGACUGAUGUAAGCUGUUAAUGGCCUCUUCCUUCACUCCUUGUAGCACAAUGAUCUCAUCUUGCAGAGUAGUCCUUAUCUC